rnacentral:misc_RNA from 1 species
UCCGGUUUUUCACCGGCAGUCCCUCUAGAGUGCCCAACUGAAUGUAGCAACUAAUGGCAAGGGUUGCGCUCGUUGCGGGACUUAACCCAACAUCUCACGGCACGAGCUGACGACAGCCAUGCAGCACCUGAGCAGGAUGGUAUUGCUACCUCGUUGGGCUUUCACCCUUCUACUACCUGCAUGUCCAGCCUGGGUAAGGUUCUUCGCGUUGCGUCGAAUUAAACCACAUGCUCCACUGCUUGUGCGGGCCCCCGUCAAUUCCUUUGAGUUUCAGCCUUGCGGCCGUACUCCCCAGGCGGAGUGCUUAACGCGUUGGCUGCGGCACCGCGGGGGUCAAUACCCACAGCACCUAGCACUCAUCGUUUACAGCGUGGACUAC